GAUGAACGCUGGCGGCGUGCCUAAUACAUGCAAGUCGAGCGAACAGACGAGGAGCUUGCUCCUCUGACGUUAGCGGCGGACGGGUGAGUAACACGUGGAUAACCUACCUAUAAGACUGGGAUAACUUCGGGAAACCGGAGCUAAUACCGGAUAAUAUAUUUAACCGCAUGGUUCAAUAGUGAAAGACGGUUUUGCUGUCACUUAUAGAUGGAUCCGCGCCGCAUUAGCUAGUUGGUAAGGUAACGGCUUACCAAGGCAACGAUGCGUAGCCGACCUGAGAGGGUGAUCGGCCACACUGGAACUGAGACACGGUCCAGACUCCUACGGGAGGCAGCAGGAGGGAAUCUUCCGCAAUGGGCGAAAGCCUGACGGAGCAACGCCGCGUGAGUGAUGAAGGUCUUCGGAUCGUAAAACUCUGUUAUUAGGGAAGAACAAAUGUGUAAGUAACUAUGCACGUCUUGACGGUACCUAAUCAGAAAGCCACGGCUAACUACGU
rnacentral:rRNA from 1 species